ACUCUCCACCAGCCGCUCGUAUCAUUCACUUCGUCUUUUCGGCUUUACGGAGCUCCCUUCUUCGGGGUUUAUCCUUUUCCGAUCUAAGCUCUUUCAUCUUCAUGGCUGUUCUCUUCGUUCUUCACAGAUUUAUCACAGAGUAAUCUCUUUUGCAGAUCCGUUCCUGUUUUUUCUCUUUGUUUUGUGAAUUUAUUUUGAAAUGGAUGUAUUUGAGGCUUCAUAAUCUGGUCAGUGUGGAUUUGAUCUGUUCCCAUUUGACUCGUUCCCUUGAAGCAAUAUCGAUCGUGAUACUUUUUCUCAAUCUCUCCCUUUGCUUUCUCUUAUAGCGCUUGGGAGAACACUGGAGUAGCUACAUCUUCUAUUAUCUUUCUGCUUUCUCUUCAUUUCGUUCUGAAAUUUCUGAUUGAAACGAUUUUUAUCUUCGCAACGGUGAUGAGCCUUUUGCAGACCUGUAAUGAUUUGCGAAUAUGAUCGCAAUAUCAUACGAACAUCUAAGGGACUGAGUUGCUUAGAUUUCUUCGACUUUUUUUUAUUUCUCGGUUCGAUUUUGAUUUUGAUUCUUUAAAUUCCUUUUAAAUCAGAGUAAAAACCCUAAUGGAAAAGCGUAAUGAGCGCUGAACACUCGACAACGGUUUGUUACCGAUUGAUUACUUUUCCAAGAUGAAUACCGGUUUGGUUUCGACAAUCAAAUUGGAGGCGGAAAGAAUCUUAGUGACAAACCCUAAAUUCUUCGGGCUUUAUGAUUUCCAGUGAAACAUAAUUUAUUUGAUGGGCCUUAAGUUUGUAUUGAAUUACAAUAUCUAUGUAUAAUAUAGAUUCUUCCGUAAAUGCUUUGCCUAUAAACUAAUUUAAAAAUUAAAUGGAAUAGAAUUUGAAUUUUUGUUUCGAUUCAAUUGAUAAAUCGGUCUUCCAGAGUUCCAACUUAACCAACCUAUCAUACUUCUAAUAUAAUAUAGUCAUCAGAUAUGAACUUUAUCAUUUUGGAACUACAUUAAUUUGAUUGAGAUGGCUAAAUAAGUAAUAUUAGAACUACGUUAAUUAAAUCACUCCUCGAAAUUUGUCUUUGUAUCAUGUAAACAAAAUUAAAAAUUUUGUUUUAAUGGGUGUAAUCGAAUACAAUUACAAAUAAUUUUAUGAACAUGAGCAAUAUACGAUCUUCUAUCAUGCCACAACCCCACAUACUCCUGCUCUUCGCUUUUCCCCACAGAACCCGACCUCGUAUGUGCCUCCAUAGUCUGCUUUCUCUUCUGGGUUCUCACCAAUCCCUCAAUUUCUCAUCGGAGCUGUUCCCUUUUUCUGUCCAUUUUCACUCACCACAGACCCUUUCCCUGAUAAGGUCACUAAAAUCUCCAUCGUGCUCUUUCCAGUCCCAGAUGGGAAUGUAGUUCAGAGCUUCUCGAUUUGAGACCCAAACUCAAGCCCCAUUGCGUAUUGAAGAUCCAUGAAAGCACACCAACACGGGUUCGGGCUUGUGCUUCUUCUGGAUUUGGAAGAGGCAUUUUGUCAAACAUAUUAUGUGUUGCUUUUUGUCGAUGUUGAGUACGGCAUGUACGGCAUCGUCACGGGUUCGGGUUCGGGCAAGUACGGCAUCGUCUUAUGCGCCUGCACACCAUGUAAGAAUUCUAAUGAUCAAUCCAUGUAGGAAUGAUCAAAAGGGGGUAAUUCAGUUUUUGAGUGAGAUAAUGUCAAAUUUUUCAUUAUGAUACUUGUCUAGAUGCAUUUACAUACACCUCUUUGAUUCUUCGGCAUUAUAUCGAUUUGGGUUUUGAUUCUUGACAUUUAGGAAUGCUAGUCUGGCACCUCUUUGAUUCUUGAGCAUUAUAGUAAAGAGAGGUCAGAGGAAGCCAUGAAUUUGCUUGAAGAAAUGGUUGAGAAGCGGAUUGAGGCAACUAUAUACACAUACACCAUUCCAAUAGUUUCAUUAUGUGAUGGCUCGUCGUUCUAGUGAGGCAGUAGAGCUUCACUAAUCAGUUUGUGGUUGCAAUUGGUCUAUAUCACAAGAUGUUGGCUGAUGGAUUGGUUCCGACAUCUGAUGAGGUUGUCUGGACAGUGUUUCUUGUGUCGGAUAGGGAAAUUAUUAUAGGUUUAUAAUCAAGCCUUUUGGUCCAAAACAAAGCUAUAAGACUUUAGACUCAAAGUGGACAAUAUCAUACUAUGGUCGAGAGUCAAAUGGAAAAUUUGAUUUAUUUGAUUCCAAGUUUGAAGCUUCUUCAUGUCAUGGAAUCAAGAAAUUGCACUCUCAAUUUCCAGACACAUAUUAUGUUGGCUGACGAGGUUGUUUGGACAGUGGUUCACUUACUUAUUUGAACAACCAGUGUUUUCAAUCUUCCAAUAUAAUUAUGGACCUUGGUAUUACGGGAUCCGAUAUGUCAACCAAGUUAAGGAUUGAAGACUAUUGCGAGUGAGUCCCGAUCAUGGGUUUAUGCUCAAAGUGGAAAAUAUCAUACCAUUGUGUAGAGUCUGUUCAUCUAACAUUUCCAUCCUUAAAUGCUCUCAAAUGCUCUCAAAGAAUAUGUUGAUAGCAAUCAUUCAGUGGACUCAUGAGGCAAUUUGAGGCUUCUGGGGUGAAGUGAUCAUUCCCUUGGCAGGUAAGCUUUCCAGCAGAUAUUGAUUUGGGACAGUAAGGACAUGUUUAGCUGAUGGGUAAUCUUCCUCCUCCCUCCUUAAUAAUUGUGUCAUCGUUAAUUGUAUUAUUGUCCUUCUCUUUCAUGUAUUAUAUUGAGGGGCCCUGAUUAAAGUCAUCUUUAAUGCAAAAUAUUCCUCCUGAA